UCACGUAAUCAAGAUAUGCGUAAGCACAUAUCUAACCAGUCAACGACAGCAUGGGUGAACGCGCGCGCGUAUUCAUAUACACGAGCCUUCGUGGCGCGUGUAAAACACGCUCGGGUCGAGGCAGUGUCGUCUCUUUUUCCAUAUAAAUGACAACAUUCUACGUUCGAUGCACCAAACAAGCAAACAACCAACCAACCAACCAACUAGUCAACCAACCAACCAACCAGCGAAGCAACCAACUACGACGACACAACUGCUCUGACAGCAGCACAUGCGCGAAAACGUGACUUUCAAAGGCAAAACGUUGUCUAUGACGUCGUUUUAAAUGACGAAGAGGAAGAAGAGAAGAAAGAGAUUCUGUACUUGGUGGAAGCACAAAGUCGACGCAUAUGGCUUAGGUCGUUGACCUGCAAGAACAUACAGCAAGGUAGGCAAACAAGCGAGGACAGGGAGAGACUCCUCUCCUCCGACCCCUGCAACCCAGCCCGAAAGAAGAAGCGUUUCCUCAUUGGUUCUCACCUGCACCAAAUUCCUAGCUGGCCAACCUCGGUCAUUGACCCUUCUUAGAAGAGCACGCGGAAGACCGCGAUCGCUGCGCUCGUGCGUCUAAAGACCCACCUCAUCGCCAUCGUUCUCUUCUUUCCAGGUAGUUUUCAAAAUCGAUCCCUUCUUAAAAAAAAUCGCUAAGCCCUUUGCCAAAAAGAAAAGAAAAGAAGGAAAAGAAGAAAGAAAAAAAGGAUAGGAAAGAAGAAAAAAGAAAGAGAAACGAAGAAGUUCAAAUUCCAAGUAAUCCGACGACGAGUCGAUCCUGUGAAAAAUAAGAAUAAAACUCACCAAGAUGUCUAACGUAACGUAUAAAUAAAUAUCGUUAAAAGAUAUUUAAAAUAGAAGAAGAGAUAAGAUUAGAAAUCGUGGUAUAUAGUGGGAUACCAAAGACAUUAAGAGAAAUAAACGACUCUUCUUCGAUAGUAGUACGAAAAAGGUUGCUGAGCGACGAAGAAAAACGACCAAAUACGAAAUGAGGAGUUACACCUUUGGAGUGCCGACCAUUCCUACGAGAGGAAAGUUGUUUUCGCCAAAAAAGAAUAUCAGAGGAGAAGAAUCUGAGAAUCCGAUGUAAUUUACGUAAUCAGCCCAUUGCCGGCUAGAUACCGGUAAUACUGGCAUCGAACACGGUGAGAAGAAUAAUACCGAAUACGAGAAUCGAAAUGCCACAUCCUGAGUUAACAUGCAUGCAUACAGACCAACCACGGGAAAUCGAUAAACCGGUCACGUAUACAAAUGAACUUAGAUAUCUAUAAUACUGGCUCUAUUUUAAUUAAUGCUCAUAAGAAUAUUAUUAUAAUUAUUAUUUAUAACAGAAAAUAUGUUCUAUACAAACGUAAGAACAUCAGUGUAACAUAUAUUUAAUUUAUAAUUACUUACUUACCUACAUAUAUCAUAUUUUUAAAAAAUAAUUUCUUGGAAAAAAAUGUUUCAAUUUUUACUCCUUGAUAACUUAGAUUGUAUCGA